AGAGAUAGGGUCUCCAGCAAUCCCAUUACUGGGUACACACCCAGAGGAAUAUAAAUCAUUCUACCAUAAAGACACAUGCAUGCGAAUGUUCAGUGCAACACUAUUCACAAUAGCAAAGACAUGGAAUCAACUAAAUGCCCAGCAAUGACAGUUUGGAUAAAGAAAAUGUGGUACAUAUACACCAUGAAAUACUAUGCAGCCAUAAAAAAGAAUGAGAUCAUGUCUUUUGUGGGAAUAUGGGUUGAGCUGGAGGCUAUUAUCCUUAGCAAACUAACACAGAAACAGAAAACUAAAUACCACGUGUUCUCACUUAGAAGUGAGAGCUAAAUGGUAAGAACUUAUGAACACAAAGACGGAAACAACAGACACUGGGAUUUACUUGAGGAGGGAGGGUGGAAGGACAGAGAGGCACAGAAAAGUUAACUAUUGGGUACUGGGCUUUAUAUCUGGGUGAUGAAAUACUAAGUUGGUGCAAAAAUAAUUGUGGUUUUUAACACGUUUACCUAUGUAACCUUCACAUGUAUCCCCAAGCCUAAAAUAAAAGUUAAAAAAAAGAGAGAUAUGGGGUCUCACUAUGUUGCCUAGGCUGAAUUUGAAUUUGGGCACAAGUGAUACUCCCACUUCAACCAGCCUCCUGGGUAGCUGGGACUACAGGCACAUGCCACC
rnacentral:lncRNA from 1 species